UACGUAGGGUGCGAGCGUUGUCCGGAAUUAUUGGGCGUAAAGAGCUCGUAGGCGGUUUGUUGCGUCUAUCGUGAAAACCUGCAGCUUAACUGUGGGCUUGCGGUGGAUACGGGCAGACUUGAGUUCGGUAGGGGAGACUGGAAUUCCUGGUGUAGCGGUGAAAUGCGCAGAUAUCAGGAGGAACACCGGUGGCGAAGGCGGGUCUCUGGGCCGUGCCUGACGCUGAGGCGCGAAAGCUAGGGGAGCGAACAGG
rnacentral:rRNA from 1 species